UACGGAGGGGGCGAGCGUUGUUCGGAAUUACUGGGCGUAAAGGGCGCGUAGGCGGACGGUCAAGUCAGGGGUGAAAGUCCUGGGCUCAACCUAGGGACUGCCCUUGAAACUGAUUGUCUUGAGACCGGGAGAGGAUGGCGGAAUUCCCAGUGUAGAGGUGAAAUUCGUAGAUAUUGGGAAGAACACCGGUGGCGAAGGCGGCCAUCUGGACCGGAUCUGACGCUGAGGCGCGAAAGCGUGGGGAGCAAACAGG
rnacentral:rRNA from 1 species